CCAUAUGAAUCAUCUGGGCUAUAGACAGUUGUGGUUGAAGCGUAUGAUUGUUAGUGGGUAGGGUUUGAUUCUUGGUUUUGUGGUUGGGUGGGGUGACAUGAAUGGAUUGCGACGUUGGGUAUUUGGUUGUUGGGUGGAUGACAUGAAUGAGUUGUGAUAUUGUGUGUUUGGUUGUUGGGUGUAUGCGGCAGGUUGAUGGUGC
rnacentral:lncRNA from 1 species